GGCCGGGUCACACCAGCCAGAGGGCAGCGGUAGCGGCUGCCGGACGGAGAACGGCCCUCGCUGCAGCCCCGUGGGGCCGCUCCGCACGCAGCGGUCGGUGCGGGGCCGGGCUGGGCUCGCGGGCCGGUUGCUGCCGGUGCAGGCGUUACCUGGACGCGGACCUCGGGCAGGUUGACCUUCAUGGCGAGCUCCUCGCGGCUGUACACGUCGGGGUAGUGGGACUUCUCGAAGGCGCGCUCCAGCUCGUGGAGCUGGCAGCCCCUCAAGGGAUGGCAUGCAGGAGGAUGCCGUGGCACUAUCCCAUGUCAAAUGCGAGGGUAAAACGCACUGAGGGUAAAGGCUGAUUCUCUGGUUCCCUGCUGGGCUCUGCCUUCAAGACCUUGUGAAGCAUCAAGCGAAGUGACAAACACAGUAACAUCCAGAGUGGUUUUCAGCCUGCACUCAGAUUUGGAGAUUCUUCUGUUUCAAGCCUGAGGAGAGUGUAUGUGAAUGGACACUGCCGCUGCUGCUUCCAGACCUAUCAGCUGGUCUAAUAAAAGGUGUGAGCUCUCUCAACAGAUCUGCAUCUUUCCCUCCCUGCCCCAGCAGGAUGCAUUCUGUGUAGUUUCUUCCCAGAGGAAUGACUUCAAACCAGAGGUUUGCCUCUGCCGGUGCCCACCUG